AGCACCCCCCCUGGAAUUCUUUUUUCCUUCUUGCGUGUGUCCAAGAGCCCUAGCCGCCAUCAGCCUUCGCGUUCGAACCGCCGUCCUUGCCCGCCACUCUUUGUUCUCCCCUCACCUCCGUUUGCACCACCACACUCGAGCGCCUCUCCCUCGCCGUCAGCUUAACAGUGCACGCCUUUUGCGAGUCUUUAGCCCUACCCAGAUCUGUAGAUGAACACCCCUAACUACUUCCAUCACUUCUGCCAGUGACCGACCAUUCUGCCACUCGCCCCCUUCCCUCGACCUUAGUCGCUCCAACCGUCGAUUUUUUUAAGCCGUUGUUCAACCGCCGUUCAGCCCACCUGCGUUGUUCAGAUGUCAAUCUUGGCCAAAAUCCUUGUUUUGGAUAAGGUUAUAGCGGAGUUUGAAGAUUGGAAAUGUGUUGUGCGGGGUUGCAAGGUUUUGGCUUUGGCAAAUUUUGGUAAGGGUAAGGACGCUCGACGAAUGACAAGUGGAAUCUGUGAUCGAGUUACUGGGACCAGUCAUAUGCUUCUGCUCAUGUUUUUAAGAUUUUUCCUAUAUUUUAGUUUCUUGUCUU